GGUGGCGCAACAGACAGCGGGAGAUCAGCUGGUGGCAACGGAUGGCAGGAGGCCGCAGGACCGUGCGAGGAGCAGGUAGCCGGAGGAUGUCGCCGGUGGAAAUCUGGCAAGUGGCGGCGGCAUAGAGGGCUUAUGGUUUGAUGUUGGUCUUUUUACCUAUAGCACUGAAUUUCAUGUAUAGGUUGUGCUGAUCCUAAGAUUGCCAAAAACUGCUUCGUAAAAAUCACCCAGGUCUGCUUUUUAUUGUGAUUAUGCAAAUUGCUCGAAACCUGAGUUGUCCUAUUUUGUUGAUGAAGGAAUUGAAAUCUGAAGACAUGGUGAUUUUUACCCAAUGGGUUAUGCCCUUGAGCACGAAGAGCUUUUGAACUCUGAGGUUCAGGACCACGCGUGCUUCUCACAUUUAUUGAGACAGAGAGUAUUAAUCAAAAGCGGUUCAAGUUUCCACAAUGAGCUAUACAUCAUCUAAACUCACAUGGAUAUACCAGGUCUGCCUUUCCCUACAAUUUAAGCCUUUGUUUUGGCAGGUAUCAGUCACCUGGUGCUAAACUUGGUGCUUAAUGAUCAACUAGAACAAAGUUUCAUAGCCUUCCAGAUUUGUCAAAUCUACAAUAACAGGAUAAUUCCUGUUAGACAUGUUAUUCUACUGGUACAUGUCAUAUAACGAAAUUCUUGUAUUUUGGAAGGAGAAAACAUUGAGUGGAGCAAUUAUGCAAUUCAAGUGGCAUGGUCAUCAAAGUGUUUUGUAGUGUGAGGAUAAUAAGGUGAAGUGAGGCUGCUGCUCGCCGGUGGCUCGCCGGCCAUCCGAGAGCCGGAAUUGCGGCCCCAUGCGAGGGAAAGAUCAGCGUUGCUGCAACCACGGCAGGACACCCACCAUGCGCGUACCAUACAGGCAGCAUCAGCCUCACUUCACCUUGGAUGACAUGACGAUUAUGAAAUAUUCAGUCAUCCCCCUUGGGUCUACCUGUUGGACACUUGGACCUACUCAUGUGUUUGAGAUGAUUGUGCAGAAAAGCUGAAAACGGGAUAAAAUUCUAUGUGAGAGAUGACCGCUAAAGGAGUGCGACGCCACCAUCCUGUGCCACAAACCAUACCAAGAAUGGCGGGUUAUGGAUAGAGUUCAUUUGAUCCAUCUGAUAAAAAUACCUAUUGGGGAAUAAGCAUGAAAAGUAAUCAACCACUCUUUCCGCAGUGGAGUUCGGCCGUGAUGAUCAGAAGUUUAGGACCACACUGUAGUCAAGAAAAAGGAAUGAUCUUCGAGUUGAAAUGGAUUUGAUGAGGGAAGUCUGCAAUGCAGACUGUGUUAAGUGUACCCGCUCCAGAUUUCAUCGACAGUAAAUGGUCCACUGCUAUUGGCAGGAGGAAUAUGUAUGCGUUGGUGGGUGCUGGAGGUUCCCUGCAAUACCCGAGGAUCCGAUGGCGAGCCGUAGGUCGGGGAAGUCGUCGGCAUACAUAUAAGGAGAUGGAGGUGGAGGUGGCGGUGGAGGGAGACGGGCAUUCACUACUCGUCGGAGGGCGAGGGCAUGGAGGACAACCAGCACGACGAUUACCACGCCUUCCUCCCGUCGAAUCACUCAAGCACGACGUCCUGGUCCUCUCUAUCCAUUGGCCCCCUCCAACAUCUACCACGAUGACCACAUGUUGUUUGCGUAGCAGCAGCGGCGGCCAUCCAUGAUCUUCUUUUGUGCCGACCUGCUAGAAACAGGUUGGGCUAUAGACAACUAGAGAUUGGUCACCUGUCUAGCAGCUCAUUUCUGAAAACAAACACCAGGUCUAUGUGUUCAAAAUCAUGAAGGAGGAUGUCAAAGUGUUUCUGCAGCGCAUCAGGCGAAAGAAAAAGCAACAUGAAGUUCCCGUCUACAUCAAACUGCUUUCACUUAUAUUCUGCCGAAUUUGUUCCAUCUAUAGGACUGUACAUGGAGAUUAUCUAUAAGGGUUGUGUC